UCCACUAAAGGGAAGGAUAUAACAGUUUUUAUGUUUAAAUGUUACUAUUUGCCAUAUUCUAAAAAUCUCUUUUGAAAAUUCAAAAGUGAUGAUGAAAAACUUAGAUAUCAACCUAAAAAUGUGCAAGAUGGUACGUAAACUUUUUAACAUUCCUCUAGGAUGUUAUAAGAGCAAAAAUGUUUGAGACCACUGCUCUGUGAGGCUAAAUGUUUGAUCUCCUGUUCUGUGAGCUACUCCCAGGCCUCUUGGUAACUAUUCCUUCUGGUCAGAGUCAGGCACAGUGGCUUUCAGUUGAUGGCAACCAAAGGGCCCAAAUGCCUUAGGACCCAGUGACAACCAAACAGAGAGGAAGUUCAACUAUGAACCAGAUUACAGAAUCAUCUGAAGCUGUAACAGUGAAAACUACUUCAGGGAAGAAAAAGAAUAACAAAGGAAUCAAGAAGAAAAUUGAAGGUCUGAUGGAAGCCGGUCCUUGCUUAGUGAAGUUGCAUUUGGCAGACAAUGGCAUAGACGGAAAAGGAAAAGAAGAGAAAAUGGUUUGUUGCAAUUCAUUCAAACUUUAACAUGCCUGAUCAAAUACUCUGCCCACUUGAGGGAAAUUGACCUUGGAAACAACGUCCUAAGAGAAAUGGCUGCUGCUGACAUACUUGAAAUGCUGAGAGCCAGAAAGACAGCCCAACCUGCAGAGAGGUCUCCAGAUAUCAAUUGCAAAACUCAAGUCACAGCCCCCGUAAGAUUAUGAUAUGCUUUCUGGAUCAUCGAAGGAUGAUUAAUUGUGAUUGGCAUAGGGAGAGCAGUAAGUCUUUUAAGAUCCUGCAAUCCUUUGAAAAGGAGAGCAUCACAAGUGGAAGGAGUUGGUUCCUGUGGCCACUCCUGCCCUCUCCAUCGCCAGCAUGCAUGACCAGAAUUAAUGAUGGCUGCUCAUCCUGCUGAUGCAGAGGAGGCAAAGAAAUGUCAUUUUAAAUGAAGCUCCAUGGAAGAUUUCAUAAACAGAUUUGAAAAUGCAAAUUCAACCUUAAGAAAAGUAGAAAGAACUCAGGCCGGGCGU